UAAUACGUAGGGGGCUAGCGUUGUCCGGAUUUAUUGGGCGUAAAGCGCGUGUAGGCGGCCAGAUAGGUCUGCUGUGAAAACUCGAGGCUCAACCUCGAGCUGUCGGCGGAAACCAUCCGGCUAGAGUCCGGAAGAGGAGAGUGGAAUUCCCGGUGUAGCGGUGAAAUGCGCAGAUAUCGGGAAGAACACCUGUGGCGAAGGCGGCUCUCUGGGACGGUACUGACGCUGAGACGCGAAAGCGUGGGGAGCAAACAGGAUUAGAUACCCUGGUAGUCCACGCCGUAAACGAUGGGUGCUAGGUGUGGGGAGUGUCGACUCUCUCCGUGCCGAAGCUAACGCAUUAAGCACCCCGCCUGGGGAGUACGGCCGCAAGGCUA
rnacentral:rRNA from 1 species